CACAAGCAGCGGAGCGUGUGGUUUAAUUCGAUGCUACACGAAGAACCUUACCAAGGUUUGACAUGCAAGUGGUAGUGAUCUGAAAAGUGAACGACCCUUCGGGGAGCUUGCACAGGUGCUGCAUGGCUGUCGUCAGCUCGUGUCGUGAGAUGUUCGGUUAAGUCCGCUAACGAGCGCAGCCCUCACUGUGUGUUAUACGUGUCACACGGGACUGCCGGUUUUAAGCCGGAGGAAGGCGAGGAUGAAGUCAAGUCAGCAUGGCCUUUAUAUCUUGGGCUACACACACGCUACAAUGGUCUGUACAACAGGUUGCCAAGCCGCGAGGCGGAGCCAAUCCUAAAAGCAGGCCUCAGUUCAGAUUGUAGGCUGCAACCCGCCUGCAUGAAGAUGGAGUUGCUAGUAACCGCAGGUCAGCUAUACUGCGGUGAAUACGUUCCCGGGUCUU
rnacentral:rRNA from 1 species